rnacentral:tRNA from 1 species
GCUUUCCCGUGGCUCUGUUGGUAGAGCAUUGCACUAACAACGCAAAAGGUUAUGGGUUCAAAUCCCAGGGAAAGCA